GGAGGGUGCGAGCGUUGUUCGGAAUUACUGGGCGUAAAGCGCGUGUAGGCGGCCUUGCAAGUCAGGCGUGAAAGCCCUCGGCUUAACCGGGGAAGUGCGUCUAAAACUGCUUGGCUUGAGUACGGGAGAGGGAGGCGGAAUUCCCAGUGUAGAGGUGAAAUUCGUAGAUAUUGGGAGGAACACCGGUGGCGAAAGCGGCCUCCUGGACCGAUACUGACGCUGAGACGCGAAAGCGUGGGGAGCAAACAGGAUUAGAUACCCUGGUAGUCCACGCGGUAAACGAUGGGCACUAGGUGUGGGGGGUAUCCACUCCUCCCGUGCCGAAGCUAACGCAUUAAGUGCCCCGCCUGGGGAGUACGGCCGCAAGGUUA
rnacentral:rRNA from 1 species